AGUGAACGCUGGCGGUAGGCCUAACACAUGCAAGUCGAACGGCAGCACAGUAAGAGCUGGCUCUUACGGGUGGCGAGUGGCGGACGGGUGAGGAAUACAUCGGAAUCUACUUUUUCGUGGGGGAUAACGUAGGGAAACUUACGCUAAUACCGCAUACGACCUACGGGUGAAAGCAGGGGAUCUUCGGACCUUGCGCGAGUGAAUGAGCCGAUGUCGGAGUAGCUAGUUGGCGGGGUAAAGGCCCACCAAGGCGACGAUCCGUAGCUGGUCUGAGAGGAUGAUCAGCCACCCUGGAACUGAGAAACGGUCCCGACUCCUACGGGGGGCAGCAGUGGGGAAUCUUGGACAAUGGGGGCAAGCCUGAUACAGCCAUACCGCGUGGGUGAAGAAGGCCUUCGGGUUGUAAAGCCCUUUUGUUGGGAAAGAAAAGCAGCAGGUUAAUACCCCGCUGUUCUGACGGUACCCAAAGAAUAAGCACCGGCUAACUUCGUG
rnacentral:rRNA from 1 species